AUCACUCUUGGGGGUAGAGCACUGUCAUGGCUAGGGGGCCGCUUAAGGCUUACCAAACCAUAGCAAACUCCGAAUACCGAGAAGUGCGAGCAUGGGAGACAGACGGUGGGUGCUAACGUCCAUCGUCAAGAGGGAAACAACCCAGACCGCCAGCUAAGGUCCCAAAUUACAGUUAAGUGGCAAACGAAGUGAGAAGGCACAAACAGCCAGGAGG
rnacentral:misc_RNA from 1 species